GUGUUGAUCCUCCAGCUGAUCAAACAUUGAUUUGUCUCGAAAACAGAACGCCGGCCUUGUCCUUCAUCUCUCUAUGUCUCGUAUCAAGGCAGAA
ensembl:ncRNA H21P03.4 ncRNA